UGGGGAAUUUUGGACAAUGGGCGAAAGCCUGAUCCAGCAAUGCCGCGUGUGUGAAGAAGGCCUUCGGGUUGUAAAGCACUUUUGUCCGGAAAGAAAUGGCUCUGGUUAAUACCUGGGGUCGAUGACGGUACCGGAAGAAUAAGGACCGGCUAACUACGUGCCAGCAGCCGCGGUAAUACGUAGGGUCCAAGCGUUAAUCGGAAUUACUGGGCGUAAAGCGUGCGCAGGCGGUUGUGCAAGACCGAUGUGAAAUCCCCGAGCUUAACUUGGGAAUUGCAUUGGUGACUGCACGGCUAGAGUGUGUCAGAGGGGGGUAGAAUUCCACGUGUAACAGUGAAAUGCGUAGAGAUGUGGAGGAAUACCGAUGGCGAAGGCAGCCCCCUGGGAUAACACUGACGCUCAUGCACGAAAGCGUGGGGAGCAAACAGG
rnacentral:rRNA from 1 species